AUCUCUCUCGCUGGCUUUGCCAUGUAUUGAGAGCCAUUAGGACCGAGAGGAGCCGUGGCGCUGCGAAAAGACUAACUCUCCUUCCGUCCACAUCUCGAUUGAUAACUUUGGCUCUUCGAUUUAAUAGAGCGGUCAAGGUGGACCUGUUCUUCUGCAUGGUUCAAGAGAAAUAAAGAGAGGAAAAUAUGAGAAGGUUGCAGAUGUGAAGGACACACCUUUUCCAUGGGAGGCCGGCAGACUGAUUUCAGUUCAGAGAGAACCUAGACAGGACUACAGAACUAAAUAAAGUCUCAGAUGGAUGGAACUGGACUCCCACUAGAAAACCUGCAAGACAAUGAGAUUCCCUGUGCCCUCUGAGAAAUGUUUACACGCUCUUCCAACAUGUACUG